rnacentral:misc_RNA from 1 species
AAGUCGUAACAAGGUUUCCGUAGGUGAACCUGCGGAAGGAUCAUUAACAUCGUGUUGGAUUUGGCGCAAGUCACUUCCAAAAACCACGUUAUACCAUCGUGAACCUGUUUUUUAAACAAUCCUGUCGUUAAUGUUUAGAGUGAUGCGUGAGGGAAAGGUGUGAGCGAUUUCAAAACCCGCUCUAACUCACAAGUCUAUCAGUGCAAAUUUAUUUUGACACUGGAACUCGCAUUGACGUACAGCAGAUGAAUUUCGGCUGUGGGCCCGCGCCUUGGACUACAGUUCGGAGUGCCUUAUUUUCUAACCUUUGUGUAAAUUAAUCUGAACCUAAAGACGCUUGUACGAAUUCCUGACCUUCGCGGGUCGGUUGAGUUUGUACUUUCGUCGUUAAAUAAAAUAAACUAAUAAACAACUCUUAGCAACGGAUAUCUUGGUUCUC